GAGAGAAUUGACCCUGGCCUGAUGAAGAAAAUGGGAAUCAGUCCUUUGGAAGGAUCAGGAAGCAGCUGAUUGGGCAGGGUAGCAAUCUUUCUGCAUUGAAGUCUCCAUUUUCCUUGGGACAUGGUGGGGCCAGCAAGAGGGUAGAGGAUUAUUCCCAGGUGCGUGACUCUCCAGAGCAGCGAGAGGAUCAGAGUGGCCUCCUCCUUCUUACUUGUGACAGACAGGGAGCCACACUUCGGAGGGCAUCGACUGCUUCUCCCCAUCAGCCAGCUGUGAAGAGGAGUCGCUCCAGGAACAGCGCCACCCUCCCUCGUUUGCUUUUCUUCCUCUAUUUUUCCUGACAUGUUCACUGAACUACAGACUGCAUAUGUUUAAAAAUAAUUAAACGCGCUCCAAACAAAUAGGCAAUGUUUCCACGAUCCCUGCAAUGAACGUUCUGCGUGUUUUGACAGAUUUUUCUGUUCGUUGGAUUCAUCAAGCAGCCUGGCUCUUUGCUGUCAUUCCCGACAACCUUGCAUAUAAACCCCCAGGGCAAACUCUCUGGCCUGAGCUCCUUCCUGGGCUCUGAUCUUGGGCAUAGAGAACUUCCAGCCUGAGAGUCCCCAGACCUUCAGGGGAAUCCAUGUCUGGGCUCCCACGACAAUGUGGUUCACAAAUGGAGCCAUUAGACAAAAGGGAGACUAGCUAAAUAAAUGUGGGGUUCUGUUUUGAAUGGCGCUGCUA
rnacentral:lncRNA from 13 species